UACCCACUAACCACGACAUUUCUCUGUUGAGCACGCAGUUCAAAACCAGAAACUCCCUCCAUCUGUCAUCUCACUUUUUCUUUCCUCUUCUUGCAGAUAAAUAUAAGAUGUCCUUCCUACGCGGUGUAUGACUGAGAACAGGAAUGAAUGGGAGUUCAAGACUGAAACAAGGCUUCUCAAGCUCGGACUGAUACAAGGCUUCCCGAGCUCGGUGUGUAGGUGGAGAAGGCAACAGCCUCAGAGCCCACCAAGGUGCGGCAUACAAGAAACCCUUAAAUUUUUGCAUUUAGGGUUAUUACAACGCGGCAAGUAAGAGAUUUAGGCAUCUCAGAAAACAUCGGCGCUAAUGGAAACCAUAAAGGAGGCGAAAUCUGAUGGACAACAGAGUCAACUCGAGGAAGCAGAUAAGCCCAUGGGAAAGCUACUGUUUAAGGCCGACGUUUUCAUUCCAUGCAUGGUCGUUUUGAUUACAGACAUGGCCAUUUUUUUAUGUAGUGGAUUCCAUUACCUACUCGCCGCCAUGAAAGCUAAGGGCCUUUCUUUCAAUACUAUUGUUGUAUAUUUUAGUAUGACAAUAGUACUUGUGAUUACUAAGGCUUGGAGAACACGCCGUAGAAUUGUCCUUGCCUAUUUGACUUCAGCGGUAUUCGUCUAUUUGAGUUCCCUUGCAGCUCUUUUCACUGUGAUGCCUUCAUGGCUUUUUAUCACUCUGUGUUUUCUUACUGUAGCACCCGCAGCUUUUGAUUCGUUUUUAUUAUUGUGCUGAGUCUUGCUGGCCUGGAGGCCUGAGUGGGCAGAUUUUGUCAAGACUCUUUCAAGACAGUUCUUUCUGUAAUCAGGACCUACACAUGAAAAGACUUUUUAACCCUUUCUA